rnacentral:rRNA from 1 species
CCAAUAGCGUAUAUUAAAGUUGUUGCAGUUAAAAAGCUCGUAGUUGAAUUUUAGGCCUGGCCGGGCGGUCCGUCUUUGGCGAGUACUGUCCUGUGUCGGGUCCACCUUCUGGUGAACCAGUAUGUCCUUUAUUGGGUGUGCCGGGGAGCCAGGACCAUUACCUUGAAAAAAUUAGAGUGUUUAAAGCAGGCAUUUGCUUGAAUAGAUUAGCAUGGAAUAAUAGAAUAGGACGUUGUGGUUCUAUUUUGUUGGUUUCUAGGACCACCGUAAUGAUUAAUAGGGAUAGUUGGGGGCAUUAGUAUUCAAUUGUCAGAGGUGAAAUUCUUGGGUUUAUUGAAGACUAACUAUUGCGAAAGCAUUUGCCAAGGAUGUUUUCAUUAAUCAAGAACGAAAGUUAGGGGAUCGAAGACGAUCAGAUACCGUCGUAGUCUUAACCAUAAACUAUGCCGACUAGGAAUCGGGCGACGUUAUUUUCAUGACUCGCUCGGCGCCUUAUG